AUUGACGCAUUCGUUCCAAUGAACUGCAGUAGCCAAGAUGCAGUGAGUGAACGAGGACCAAUGAAAUGAAGAUGAAGAGAUCACUUAAUGCGUGAAACAUACCACAGAUGGCAGUACGAUAUGCCAGCCGGUGACGAAUAUUCAUAAUGGAGCUGUGUGUGUAUGUGUGUGUGUGUAGCGCUUCACAUCUGACGCCCCACUGCUCACGAUCAUUCCAGUGCAGUGAACACGCUCGCUCUCUCUCAUGCGUUCACUCGAUCUGUCAUCUCUCUCCUCUGUUGGCUUCUCCGCCCUUAUCUCUUCUCAUUUGCAUCCUUUAUUCUUUCUUCAUCCUUGAUUCCCCAGACUAUUUAUCUAUAUGUCUGUCUUUACUAAUUCUUAGCACAUGGUUUUAUCCAAAGCGACUUGUAAAUGAGAGCAAUAGAAGCAAUCAAACCAACAAUAGGGCAACAAUAUGCAAGUGCUGUGACUAGUCCCAGUUAGUCUAGCACAGCACCGAAACCAAGGUUUUUAAUUUAUGGAUGUAUACACUGCCCAGCAAAAAACAAAUAAAUAGGGAAAUGCUUAAGUGUCAUUGAUUGAA